GAUGAACGCUAGCGGCAGGCCUAAUACAUGCAAGUCGGACGGGAUUCAGGAGCUUGCUUCUGAUGAGAGUGGCGCACGGGUGCGUAACACGUAUGUAACCUACCUUUAUCAGGGGGAUAGCCUCUCGAAAGAGAGAUUAAGCCCGCAUAAAAUCACAGCACAGCAUUGUGUAAUGAUCAAAUAUUUAUAGGAUAAAGAUGGGCAUGCGGAACAUUAGCUAGAUGGCGGGGUAACGGCCCACCAUGGCGACGAUGUUUAGGGGAUCUGAGAGGAUGGCCCCCCACACUGGUACUGGGACACGGACCAGACUCCUACGGGAGGCAGCAGUAAGGAAUAUUGGUCAAUGGGCGGAAGCCUGAACCAGCCAUGCCGCGUGCAGGAAGACGGCCCUACGGGUUGUAAACUGCUUUUAUACGGGAAUAAACCCAGAUACGUGUAUCUGGCUGAAUGUACUGUAAGAAUAAGGAUCGGCUAACUCCGU
rnacentral:rRNA from 1 species